AUGGAAAUAAUUUAUUGUCAUAAGUGAAUCUAAUACAACACAUGAUUUGUUCUAUUGUUCAAUCCAAAUUUUAUACAAAAAAAUAUUCUGUCAGCAGUCUGUUGAUAUGAAUAUACAAAAGUGGAGAAGGCUUAAAAGUCUUAGCCUGUUAUCCAAUGAUAUUUAAAUACUCUCAAUAUAUUUCUUUAUUCAAUAUCAGCUGAAAAAAAUAUCAAUAUAAACUCCUUCCUUUCAAAAGCAAUAUGAAAAUUUCCUUAGUAAAAAAAUAC
rnacentral:lncRNA from 1 species